rnacentral:rRNA from 1 species
CGAUGUCGACUAGCCGUUGGGAUCCCUGAGAUCUUAGUGGCGCAGCUAACGCGAUAAGUCGACCGCCUGGGGAGUACGGCCGCAAGGUUAAAACUCAAAUGAAUUGACGGGGGCCCGCACAAGCGGUGGAGCAUGUGUUNAAUUCGAAGCAACGCGAAGAACCUUACCUGGCCUUGACAUGUCCGGAACCUUGCAGAGAUGCGAGGGUGCCUUCGGGAAUCGGAACACAGGUGCUGCAUGGCUGUCGUCAGCUCGUGUCGUGAGAUGUUGGGUUAAGUCCCGUAACGAGCGCAACCCUUGUCCUUAGUUACCAGCACCUCGGGUGGGCACUCUAAGGAGACUGCCGGUGACAAACCGGAGGAAGGUGGGGAUGACGUCAAGUCCUCAUGGCCCUUACGGGUUGGGCUACACACGUGCUACAAUGGCGGCGACAAUGGGCAGCGAAGGGGCGACCCGGUGCAAAUCCCAAAAAGCCGUCUCAGUUCGGAUUGUACUCUGCAACUCGAGUGCAUGAAGGUGGAAUCGCUAGUAAUCGCGUAACAGCAUGACGCGGUGAAUACGUUCCCGGGCCUUGUACACACCGCCCGUCACACCAUGGGAGUUGGUUUUACCCGAAGCUGGUGCGCUAACCGCAAGGAGGCAGCCAACCACGGUAAGGUCAGCGACUGGGGUGAAGUCGUAACAAGGUAGCCCUAGGGGAACCUGGGGCUGGAUCACCUCCUUGAAGCUUGGAUCCCGGG